rnacentral:rRNA from 1 species
UUGCGCAAUGGGCGAAAGCCUGACGCAGCCACGCCACGUGUGGGACGACGGCCUUCGGGUUGUAAACCACUUUCAGCAGGGAAGAAAAUGACGGUACCUGCAGAAGAAGCCCCGGCCAACUACGUGCCAGCAGCCGCGGUAACACGUAGGGGGCGAGCGUUGUCCGGAAUUAUUGGGCGUAAAGGGCUCGUAGGCGGUUUAGUAAGUCAGAUGUGAAAACUCAGGGGCUCAACCCGGAGACGCCAUCUGAAACUACUAUGACUAGAGUUUGGGUAGAGGAGUGCAGAAUUCCCGGGUGUAGCGGUGAAAUGCGCAGAUAUCGGGGAGGGAAUUCCAGUCAGCGAAGGCGGCCUCUGGCCAUAACUGACGCUGAGGAGCGAAGCGUGGGAGCCAAACCGGGUUUGAUACCUGGUAGUCC